rfam:Amphimedon queenslandica AMPQTscaffold_13404_Cont3286, whole genome shotgun sequence.
UAACCGGCUUUUUUCAAAGCCACCAUAUCACAAGAUUACAAUAAAA